AACGAACGCUGGCGGCAGGCCUAACACAUGCAAGUCGAGCGCCCCGCAAGGGGAGCGGCGGACGGGUGAGUAACACGUGGGAACGUACCCUUUGCUACGGAAUAGUCUCGGGAAACCGGGGGUAAUACCGUAUGUGCCCUUCGGGAGAAAGAUUUAUCGGCAAAGGAUCGGCCCGCGUUGGAUUAGGUAGUUGGUGGGGUAAUGGCCUACCAAGCCGACGAUCCAUAGCUGGUUUGAGAGGAUGAUCAGCCACACUGGGACUGAGACACGGCCCAGACUCCUACGGGAGGCAGCAGUGGGGAAUCUUAGACAAUGGGCGCAAGCCUGAUCUAGCCAUGCCGCGUGAGCGAUGAAGGCCUUAGGGUUGUAAAGCUCUUUCAGUGGGGAAGAUAAUGACUGUACCCACAGAAGAAGCCCCGGCUAACUCCGUG
rnacentral:rRNA from 1 species